rnacentral:rRNA from 1 species
GACGAACGCUGGCGGCGUGCUUAACACAUGCAAGUCGAACGGAAAGGCCCUGCUUUUGUGGGGUGCUCGAGUGGCGAACGGGUGAGUAACACGUGAGUAACCUGCCCUUGACUUUGGGAUAACUUCAGGAAACUGGGGCUAAUACCGGAUAGGAGCUCCUGCUGCAUGGUGGGGGUUGGAAAGUUUCGGCGGUUGGGGAUGGACUCGCGGCUUAUCAGCUUGUUGGUGGGGUAGUGGCUUACCAAGGCUUUGACGGGUAGCCGGCCUGAGAGGGUGACCGGCCACAAUGGGACUGAGAUACGGCCCAGACUCCUACGGGAGGCAGCAGUGGGAAGUAUUGCACAAUGGGCGGAAGCCUGAUGCAGAAACGCCGCGUGCGGGAUGACGGCCUUCGGGUUGUAAACCGCUUUCGCCUGUGACGAAGCGUGAGUGACGGUAAUGGGUAAAGAAGCACCGGCUAACUACGUG